AGCAAACUUCAGCCCUCCCUCCAGAGACUUCAACUCCCAGUAUCCACCAGCUAGUGUGGCUAGAGGCAAGGGGAUUUGGGGAGUUGUAGUCCACAGGGUAAGCUUUCCGGCAGGGGGCGCCUUCCACUGAGCCUGUGCCUUUUCUAUUGAAAGAGACCUGUGGCUUCUCUGGAGAGGAAGAAGAUGAGGCGUGCUUUGAGCGCCCCCUGGGGGCAGAAAGCCCUGCUUCUUGGCAGCUGAGGAAUUUCGUUUUCUUCUGGAGCCAUGAUCAUGCACAAGGAGUUACACUGAUGGUCAAAGGAGCAAAUAUCCUUUUGUUGAGAAUUCCAACCCCUCAGCCUUUGAGACAUCAACAAACUUCGCUCAUAUAUCCAGGUUAUCUACCCAUAUCAAUAAAAGAAUAACUAUCUAA